AUGCAAGUCGAGCGGAGACAGUGAGUAGCUUGCUAUGAGCUGUUUUAGCGGCGGACGGGUGAGUAACGCGUGAGCAACCUUUCCCAGACAGGGGAAUAACACACCGAAAGGUGUACUAAUACCGCAUAAGACCACGGAAUCACAUGGUUCUGAGGUAAAAGAUUUAUCGGUUUGGGGUGGGCUCGCGUCCGAUUAGGUAGUUGGUGAGGUAACGGCCCACCAAGCCGACGAUCGGUAGCCGACCUGAGAGGGUGAUCGGCCACAUUGGGACUGAGACACGGCCCAAACUCCUACGGGAGGCAGCAGUGGGGAAUAUUGGGCAAUGGAGGAAACUCUGACCCAGCAACGCCGCGUGGAGGAAGAAGGUUUUCGGAUCGUAAACUCCUGUCCUUGGAGACGAGUAGAAGACGGUAUCCAAGGAGGAAGCCCCGGCUAACUACGUGCCAGCAGCCGCGGUAAUACGUAGGGGGCAAGCGUUGUCCGGAAUAAUUGGGCGUAAAGGGCGCGUAGGCGGCUCGGUAAGUCUGGAGUGAAAGUCCUGCUUUUAAGGUGGGAAUUGCUUUGGAUACUGUCGGGCUUGAGUGCAGGAGAGGUUAGUGGAAUUCCCAGUGUAGCGGUGAAAUGCGUAGAGAUUGGGGGGAACACCAGUGGCGAAGGCGACUAACUGGACUGUAACUGACGCUGAGGCGCGAA
rnacentral:rRNA from 1 species